rnacentral:rRNA from 1 species
UACGUAGGGUGCAAGCGUUGUCCGGAAUUAUUGGGCGUAAAGAGCUUGUAGGCGGUUUGUCGCGUCUGCUGUGAAAUUUCGGGGCUCAACCCCGAACUUGCAGUGGGUACGGGCAGACUAGAGUGUGGUAGGGGAGACUGGAAUUCCCGGUGUAGCGGUGAAAUGUGUAGAGAUCGGGAGGAACACCGGUGGCGAAGGCGGGUCUCUGGGCAUUUCCUGACGCUGAGGCGCGAAAGCGUGGGGAGCAAACGGG